rnacentral:rRNA from 1 species
UACGGAGGGUGCAAGCGUUAUCCGGAUUCACUGGGUUUAAAGGGUGCGUAGGUGGGCAAGUAAGUCAGUGGUGAAAUCUCCGGGCUUAACCCGGAAACUGCCAUUGAUACUAUUUGUCUUGAAUACUGUGGAGGUCAGCGGAAUAUGUCAUGUAGCGGUGAAAUGCUUAGAUAUGACAUAGAACACCAAUUGCGAAGGCAGCUCGCUACGCGGUUAUUGACACUGAGGCACGAAAGCGUGGGGAUCAAACAGG